GACGAACGCUGGCGGCGUGCUUAACACAUGCAAGUCGAACGAUGAACCCGGAGCUUGCUCCGGUGGAUUAGUGGCGAACGGGUGAGUAACACGUGAGUAACCUGCCCUUGACUCUGGGAUAACUGCGGGAAACUGUAGCUAAUACCGGAUACGACCCUCGGCGGCAUCGCCAGCGGUUGGAAAGAAUUUCGGUCAAGGAUGGACUCGCGGCCUAUCAGCUAGUUGGUGAGGUAACGGCUCACCAAGGCGAUGACGGGUAGCCGGCCUGAGAGGGUGACCGGCCACACUGGGACUGAGACACGGCCCAGACUCCUACGGGAGGCAGCAGUGGGGAAUAUUGCACAAUGGGCGCAAGCCUGAUGCAGCAACGCCGCGUGAGGGAUGACGGCCUUCGGGUUGUAAACCUCUUUUAGUAGGGAAGAAGCGAAAGUGGCGGUACCUGCAGAAAAAGCACCGGCUAACUACGUGCCAGCCGCCGCUGUAA
rnacentral:rRNA from 1 species